GCGGCGGCCUAAUGCAUGCAAGUCGAACGCAUCCGCUUCGGCGGGUGAGUGGCGCACGGCUGAGUACACGUGGGAACCCGCCCCCCGGUGGGGGAUAACGCGACGAAAGUCGCGCUAAUCCCGCUACGUCCGCACGGGGAAAGCGCGCCAGCGCGCCGGGGGAGGGGCCUGCGACCCAUCAGGAGUUGGCAGGGUAAAAGCCUACCAAGCCGAUGACGGGUAGCUGGUCUGGGAGGAUGACCGCCAGACUGGGACUGAGACACGGCCCAGACUCCUACGGGAGGCAGCAGCAAGGAAUUUUGGCAAUGGGCGCAAGCCUGACCGAGCAACGCCGCGUGCGGGAUGACGGCCUUCGGGUUGAAACCGCUUUUCGGGGGGACGACAUUCGACGGUACCCCCGGAAUAAGCCCCGGCUAACUUGUGCCAGCAGCCGCGGUAAGACAGAGGGGGCGAGCGUUGUCCGGAGUCACUGGGCGUAAGCGCGCGCAGGCGGUCGCCUAAGUGUCGUGUGAAAGCCCCCGGCUCAACCGGGGGAGGCAUGGCAAACUGGGCGGCUGGAGCGGCGGAGAGGCCCCUCGAAUUGCCGGUGUAGCGGUAAAUGCGUAGAGAUCGGCAGGAAGACCAAGGGGGAAGCCAGGGGGCUGGUCGCUGGCUGCGCUGAGGCGCGACAGCGUGGGGAGCCAACCGGAUUAGAUACCCGGGUAGUCCACGCCGAAACGAUGACCACUCGGCGUGCGGCGACUAUUGACGUCGCGGCGCGCCUAAGCUAACGCUUAAGUGGUCCGCCUGGGAACUACGAGCGCAAGCUUAAAACUCAAAUGAAUUGACGGGG
rnacentral:rRNA from 1 species